rnacentral:rRNA from 1 species
UACGUAGGGCGCAAGCGUUGUCCGGAAUUAUUGGGCGUAAAGAGCUCGUAGGCGGCUUGUCACGUCGAUUGUGAAAGCCCGAGGCUUAACCUCGGGUCUGCAGUCGAUACGGGCUAGCUAGAGUGUGGUAGGGGAGAUCGGAAUUCCUGGUGUAGCGGUGAAAUGCGCAGAUAUCAGGAGGAACACCGGUGGCGAAGGCGACUACCUGGCCUGUUCUUGACGCUGAGGCGCGAAAGCUAGGGGAGCAAACGGG